UAUGUCAACUGGAUUGUGUCUUAGAGCAAAUUUGUCCAGUUUAAAUCUUGUUACGAAAUGGGCAGUUGACUUGAAUGAGCAUGCUUGUAAAAGUCUCAAACAAAACCAUCCGGAGACGGAGGUUAGAAAUGAACCCGCCGAAGAUUUUUUGUUGCUUUCGAA